CAGCAGCAACCACGGUAAUACGUAGGGUGCAAGCGUUAAUCGGAAUUACUGGGCGUAAAGCGUGCGCAGGCGGUUAUAUAAGACAGAUGUGAAAUCCCCGGGCUCAACCUGGGAACUGCAUUUGUGACUGUAUAGCUAGAGUACGGCAGAGGGGGAUGGAAUUCCGCGUGUAGCAGUGAAAUGCGUAGAUAUGCGGAGGAACACCGAUGGCGAAGGCAAUCCCCUGGGCCUGUACUGACGCUCAUGCACGAAAGCGUGGGGAGCAAACAGGAUUAGAUACCCCCGUAGUCCCUGUCUCUUAUAC
rnacentral:rRNA from 1 species